AUCCUUUAAAUUUAUGGCGAAAGACCUGCGAAGUGACGACAGAGACACAGCAACACAAACAGUAUGUGUGUAGGGGAGGGGCGCUGCGACUACCAGCCAAUCACAGAACGCAGACACAGACAGCUACCCAAUGAGGACUUUUAUUCAAUCCGAGCACAGAUAUUGACUCGUAUAAUACUCGUACUCGGCAAAAGUGCUUUAUCCGUACCGGAUACUCGUUUCAGCCGAGUAUCCGGCUCAUCUCUACUAAAUUCAUGUUUUGACACCCAACAACAUUGAUUUUGACCUGUAAUGUACUAACAUUUGUAUGUGCUUCUUUUUUUUUCCUCUUCAAUUCCUGGCUACCUUGGACAAGCACCACAGCAAGCUGAUUGAGAUUAUCAGAGACAAUGGGGGGAGUUGUCAGAAUGAAGUCCCAGAAUACACUGAAAGUAGCCUUGAGGUGAAUCUCAAAAGGGAGUGUCUGCUUAAGUGCAUCAAUUCUGUACCUUGGAGAAGACGUGGAAAACCUUAUCAAGGAGUAUCUGGUGGUUCAGAAGGAAAAAGCUGAGACAGAGAUUCAGAGGUGCACAAUGGCAGUGUUUGUCAUCAGGGAAGGGGAGGAUCCUCUCCAGCCACCACAGGAUAUCGGCAUUAUUAUUGAAGGUGUGGAAGUCCUAAAUCAGUUGCACAUGCAUGUGCCAUGUUAAUUGGUCUCACCUAUGCUCUGAACUUGAGCUAUCCAAGUGAGCUAAAGUACACUUUUGAUGCACUCCAGAAAGUAUUUAUGGAGAUAGAACCCAAAAAGAUGACACGCAGAGUGUACAGUCUGAGUGCCAAGCUCUAGACUAAGUUAAUGCAGAUAAAAAGACAAGAAUUUAGGUUAAUUAUUAAUGUG